rnacentral:rRNA from 1 species
UACAGAGGGUGCAAGCGUUAAUCGGAAUUACUGGGCGUAAAGCGCGCGUAGGUGGUUUGUUAAGUUGAAUGUGAAAUCCCCCGGGCUCAACCUGGGAACUGCAUCCAAAACUGGCAAGCUAGAGUAGGGCAGAGGGUGGUGGAAUUUCCGUGUGUAGCAGUGAAAUGCGUAGAUAUAGGAAGGAACACCAGUGGCGAAGGCGACCACCUGGGCUCAUACUGACACUGAGGUGCGAAAGCGUGGGGAGCAAACAGG